UACGAGAGGCGCAAACGUUAUUCGGAAUUACUGGGCUUAAAGAGUUCGUAGGCGGCGCAGAAAGUAGGGUGUGAAAGCCCUCGGCUCAACCGAGGAAUUGCGCUCUAAACUACUGUGCUUGAGGAAGCUAGAGGUGAGCAGAACAGAUGGUGGAGCGGUGAAAUGCGUUGAUAUCAUCUGGAAUACCGGAGGCGAAGGCGGCUCACUGGGGCGUUUCUGACGCUGAGGAACGAAAGCCAGGGUAGCGAACGGG
rnacentral:rRNA from 1 species